UCUGAAGGAGCCAAGAGGGGCUGCACUUUCAGGGGCAGGAGAGCAGGAAGAGAAGAGAGGAGAGCUAGGGAGGCCACUCAGAAGGCUGGGCAGUGAAAGGAAAUGGGAUGUCGGGAGAGGAAGAACUUAAUGCAACAACCGGAUGUUGGAAUCACGGAGUUAAAAGAAGGGAGGAGCCAAGCACAAAGUAGGGGCUGGGGCAAAACAAGAGACAAGGCCCAGAAUCAGGAACAAAGGGGUGUGUUAUUGGUAGGAAGGAAGCCCAAGGGGACAAACAACUGCUAGAUCUAGACCCCCCAGCAAAGUGAGUUCUGUCCACUGUGAAUUCUACAGUCGCCACAGCAACGUGACCUGGCAACCCUAAAGGGGUAACAAGAGCCGAACAGCAACGUGUGUGUAAGGGGCGGGGGAUGAAUCUCACACGACAAAUUGAACUAACCCGCCAAAUAUUGGGCUCCAUGCUCUUAAAGGGCUCCAGGGCUUCCUCUUCAUCCCUGCUUUUCAACUUGGGCAUAGCCGACACGGUUUUCUCUUUAUCCCCUGAAGAAGUGUCAGAAGUUUCAGUAUUUA